rnacentral:rRNA from 1 species
GUUGGUGAGGUAACGGCUCACCAAGGCGACGAUGCGUAGCCGACCUGAGAGGGUGAUCGGCCACACUGGGACUGAGACACGGCCCAGACUCCUACGGGAGGCAGCAGUAGGGAAUCUUCCACAAUGGGCGAAAGCCUGAUGGAGCAACGCCGCGUGAGUGAAGAAGGAUUUCGGUUCGUAAAACUCUGUUGUAAGGGAAGAACAAGUACAGUAGUAACUGGCUGUACCUUGACGGUACCUUAUUAGAAAGCCACGGCUAACUACGUGCCAGCAGCCGCGGUAAUACGUAGGUGGCAAGCGUUGUCCGGAAUUAUUGGGCGUAAAGCGCGCGCAGGUGGUUUCUUUAGUCUGAUGUGAAAGCCCACGGCUCAACCGUGGAGGGUCAUUGGAAACUGGGAGACUUGAGUGCAGAAGAGGAUAGUGGAAUUCCAAGUGUAGCGGUGAAAUGCGUAGAGAUUUGGAGGAACACCAGUGGCGAAGGCGACUAUCUGGUCUGUAACUGACACUGAAGCGGGA